rnacentral:rRNA from 1 species
GAUGAACGCUGGCGGCGUGCUUAACACAUGCAAGUCGAACGGGAAACCUUUUAUUGAAGCUUCGGCAGAUUUAGCUGGUUUCUAGUGGCGGACGGGUGAGUAACGCGUGGGUAACCUGCCUUAUACAGGGGGAUAACAGUCAGAAAUGGCUGCUAAUACCGCAUAAGCGCACAGAGCUGCAUGGCUCAGUGUGAAAAACUCCGGUGGUAUAAGAUGGACCCGCGUUGGAUUAGCUGGUUGGUGGGGUAACGGCCCACCAAGGCGACGAUCCAUAGCCGGCCUGAGAGGGUGAACGGCCACAUUGGGACUGAGACACGGCCCAGACUCCUACGGGAAGCAGCAGUGGGGAAUAUUGCACAAUGGGGGAAAACCUGAUGCAGCGACGCCGCGUGAAGGAAGAAGUAUCUCGGUAUGUAAACUUCUAUCAGCAGGGAAGAUAAUGACGGUACCUGACUAAGAAGCCCCGGCUAACUACGUG